CUUCUUGUCUUAUAGGAAUAACUGUAUUAAUUUUGAUUUUGUCUUUUUGUGUCCUGCUUUUUUUUUUUUUCCCUGCAAACACUGUUGUGGGUUCUUGCAGACUCUCCUGGACCAUGGCACUGGGCCUGUGGUGCCCACCGUGGUCCUAGAUUAGCAUCAGACCCUCUGGUCAUCUCCUCCACCCACCCUCUGUCUUCCCACCUUGCCCUUUGAUCCCCAUCAGGAGGCCUCUGUGGGUCUGGCCUUUGGUCUGUUUUGAGCACUCAGAGCUCCCUCAAUCAUCCUUAUACCUGUGGACCUCAAGGAACCUCAGGGGGCUGCAAAAGUCCCUUCUGUGGCCUGUGGUCCCCUUUGAGGCUCAUGGUCAGCAUUCCACACCCCCCACUGUGCACUCAAGCACAAGAAGCUUUGGGAGGCUCUACAGAUCCUAUGCAACCCUUUGUCAUCUGAGGUCUGGCUGCCUCCUUGGGGCUCUACCUGGGAAGAGGUCCAAGCCCCUGCUGCUCCUGGAUCUCCCAGCUUCUGGGGCUUCUACCCUCCCCCAGCUCAGGCAGUACCGUGGACACUGGAUGGACAUAUUUCGCAACCACCCUGCAUGCAAGAGAUUAUCAACAUCAUUUUACAGACCAGGAAAUGGGGCCCAGUGAGGGAGGUGCUGGAAUAGCCGAGCUGGUGUGAGAUGGUAGCCAGGUCUGGGCCACCUGUGCUGGGAAGCCAACGAUUGGUGCCUGAGGGAGGAGUUAGCCUCCUGGAGGCACCUGGGGCCUCCUCUGGGCUGACCUGAUCCCCCUGGCUGCUAUUUUGUCAGGAGUACAACAGGCGGGAGUAGUGUGAAGCUCCACUCCACAGCCCUGCUGCCCCCAGAUAGCUACAAGUCCCCUGUUUCCUUUCCCUCCACCAGCCAGAGACAGGACCCUGGUAUUGGGUGAGCGGCUGAGCCCUAGAGCAAAUGCUACCCUUCACGUCCUUAUUCGAGGGAUGUUUCUUAAUUGCUUCCUGCUUCCAUUUCUCUAUAACAGGAGUUGCAGAUGGCUGUUAGGAUUACAUGAGCAAAACGCAUCAGCUGGACAGUGCCUGCAAGUGUCCAGUAAGGAGGGGCUGGGAUGACCAGCCUCUGAGGAGAGCCUUGAGGGGACCUAGAGAGAGGCUGGGCCAAGAAUAUUGUUACCUGACUUCAUAAGUGAGAGAACUGAGCGAGCCCUCUAAGGCCACACAGUAGGUAGAUGGCAGGGCUGGGCCUGGGACUAGGCCCCUGACCACCUCCAGACCUUGAGCCUUGCCCCAUGUUGCCACCACGUCUUCACGGGGAGCAGUCUCCUUGGGGCUGGCUGACUGUCGUGGUAUUUGUCAGUCCAGGGCAGGAGGAGUUCACUGGGCUGUUUGUUGGUUGUCACAUACAUCAUCACACACAAGAGAGCAUGGCCCAAGAGUUAAGAGAUGCAGGCUCAUGUCAGGCCUUCCUUGGAUGGAUUCAUUGGGCAAUCUCAGGCAGGGUCACGGCUCGGUCUCAGUUUUCCUCAACGGAUGUUAACAGUUGUCACAAUUACACAGGGCGCGACUUCACGAGUGCGGGCAUUGUCACUGCUCUAGGUGUGCUGUGUCCUUGAAGCCACAUGGGCCAGCAAGGCAAGGGUGGGGCUAAGUGCCCAACAGCUAACACUGAAUGGCUGCUGUGUGCUGCUAGGUGCUGGGCAUCGGGCUAAGUGGCUCCCAUGAGUUAUCUAAUUCCCCACAACUGUCUGGAAGGUGAGAAUGAUUGCCAACAUUCCCAGCAGACGGAGGCUCAGAGGCAUGGAGUCACCUGUGUGAGGUCGUACAGCUGCUCAUGGCAUCGCGUUGAGGCUGAAGUCUGCCUGGGCCACACUGUGCCCUUCCAAGGUGGGCAGGCUGGGGGCAGCUGUCCUGCUGGAGAGUGAAUGCACUAGUGCUGGGAACGGAGGGGAGCGGGGAGAUGGGCGGUAAGUGGCAGGCACUGGGUGUUGGUGGCUGUGUGCCUUCAAGUUAGCAGGUGGAAAGGCAGAGGGCUUGGCCCACAGAGCGCACAGAGCAAAUAUUUGUUGACUGAUAGUUUUCUGUAGGGCCUCCGGCUGGAGAAGGAUCUGGCCACAGAGAGUGGACUGGGCAGAUGAAGCCAGGGAUAGGGAGCUGGGGGUCGGGGACAAGACUCAGGUGUCUGGGAAGGAACUGAGUCAGGAGCCUCUUUGCUUGAGGGGCCAGUAUGCGGGUGAGAGUUGGUAGGGAAAUGUCAGGACUGGGUCUUGUGAGUGCCAAGGCUGAGCCGGAGAGUGGGGGGGCCCAGGCCCUGGGGCUUUUAUGUGGGGUGGGGGGGGGCAGGCAGAGGAGGGGGAUGGGGUCUGCGCCUGCACCCGCUAUCCCAGGCUGUGUGCAUCCACCUGUGUGGUCACCGAGUGCCUGUCAGCAUGUGCGCCUGUGCUUGCGUGUGGGUCCCCAUGGUGGCACCCGUGCCCGUAGUCGUUCGGCCACAUGUGCUUUUCCCCGUGCUCCCCAGCCUGGAAGAGCAACACCUCUCAACCUGAAGCUCAGGCCCAGACUUGCAAUUGGGCUUAACUUCUCUCUUUCACUCACAUUCCACAUCCAUCCACGAGCAAAGCCUUAUGAGCUCCUCCAAAGAGAUCCCGAAUCUGACCUGUGUCACCAUCUUACUGGCCAAGCCACCAUGAUGCCCGCCUGGAUCACUGUGGUAGCACAUCACUGUGGUAGCCUCCAAGCUGUUCUGCCUUCUCUACCUUUUUCCAUCCUCCUGAUGGUCCAGUAGGAGUCAGAGCCAUCUCUUAAGACCAUAUUCUAAAUCAAAUCAUGUCCGACCCUGCUUUCAACCUCCAGGGCUUCCUGCCAUUCUUAAGUAAGCCAGAUUCCAGAUUGCUACCACAGCCCACAAGGUCCCUUUCUGAUGGAACCUUGGACACCUGUCCCUUUGGCCACAUAACUCCAGACCCACUGUACUCUUAUUCCUCACCUAAGCCCAGAAUGCUUACGCCUCAGGGCCUUUGCAUUUGCUGGUCUGGAAUGGUCUUCCUCCCAGAUGUUUGUGUGGUUUGAACCUCAGUUAAUUCGAGUCGUUGCUUCAAAUGUUACCUCUUUGGAGAAACCAUCUCUGACCAUCUAAUAAAGAGUCUUCCUAGUCCUAGCGCUCUGUCCCCUUGCCCUGCCUUACUGUUCUUUGUUUUACUUAUUAUCAAUUGGCCAUUGUAUGCAUUUGUGUUUCAAGUGUAUACAAAAAUAGAGAAACUAAUAUGAUGGAUCCCCAUGUGCCCAUACCAUAGCCUUAGCAAUUACCAACCCUGGGCCAGUAUUUUACUCCCCCACAUCCCUUGCUUCCAGCAAACACCAGACAUCACAAAUUCUCAUCUGCAAAUAAAUACUUCUGUGCAAAGUUAGAUUUUAAAUAUAUCUGUUUGUUAGAAGGCAACCUUCGGGGGAGCUGGUGUUUGUCUUGUUCACUGCUGUAUCCCCAGUGCCCAGGAUGGUGCUCAACUCACAGCAGGUGACUUGGGAUGUCUGCAGGGCUAUGCCUCAGAACCCCCUUGUGUGGUUUCUGGUUUGCACAGGUCAACCGCUGUCAAUUGAGUGCGUCUGCACGUGCCUAUGUACACUGAUGCAUGGGGCAGUCCUGUGAAUAUGUGUGUGCGUGCACGUGUGUGUGUUGCAGCGGCUGGUGGCCAAAAGCAUGCUUCCUCCCUGACAUCAUCUCCACAUACCACCCCCCUUGCCCCCCAGGAUCCAGGGACUUGCUCUGGGGAGUAUUUCCCUCUUUCUCAGCAAGGCAUGGCAUAAGAAAGGGUGGGAGGGAUGCAUGCACCAGUCCCUGCUCAUUCCUCUGGAGGGCUGGGUUUGAGGCCAGUGUGGCCUGGAGAGCCCCUCAUCCUCCUCUGGCUGGUAGGAGGCUGUGCCAUCCCAGGCGGUAGAAUAGGCAGCCUCCUCCCUCCUGGGCACUGAAGCCCAGCUCAGUUGGGCUGGCAUCAGCUGGGCAGGGGUGGGGUAGGUAUGUAUGAAGGGUGGUGGUAUCCCAACCUGGCUGACUCCUGAGGCUCCUAGGGUGACCCCUGGGUAGUUGGGCAACUGAGCUCACUCACCUGGGUGAGAGUUCUGGCCCAGGGGCUCAGCAGUCACCCAACCCCCACCCCGGUUCUGCAUCUUAAAGGGUUGGCCCUGGCAGGAGGGCAGUGUGGAAGGACAUGCUUCCAGCCCAGUACCAGGUUUACUCAGGGCAGCUACUCCCUAUCAGACUGUGAAUUGCACGGGAGCUUCUCUCAGCCUGAUCCCCAGAGCCCCUGUCUGCCCCAGGGCCAGUCUCCUGUCCCUCUGGCUCUACACCAUCUUGCCCUCCCCCCAUCCCUGCCCCCUGCUGUCCCCCGCCCACCCCGUCUUGUUUUGCUUUAAGCUUGGCUCUCCCUGUUCUUCAGGGCACAGCCCAGGCUCCCCCCCUUCAGGAGGGCCCUGUGUUCUGGCCCUCCCUGGGCCCACCGGGCCCAUCCUCCCUCCAGCCCUGCCCUCCUCCACCGCCCUCCUCCACUGGACAGGGAGGUUCAAGUGGGACUCCUCCCUCUUGGGUCCAAGGGCUCAAGCCUCCUCCAACUUCUUCCAGAUCAAUGGGGUGGGGUGGAGGAAGGGAGGUCAGAGUGGCUUGUACCGAGAACUUGACCCCUUGCUGCACACCUCACUCUCCUUACCAAAGUCCAGCAAAGGAGAAUGCCUUGAUGUCCCUCUUUUCCAAAUGGGGAAUGCAUUUGGCCUUCCAGGACUGAGCAUUUGUUUAGCACUUACUAUGUGCCAGGCACUGUUAUGGCCGUAAUAAAUUACAGUAAUAACAGUAAUGUCAACUUCGAACAUUUAUUAAGCUUCUGUGAUAGGAUAGACCCAUAUGUUAGGCAAUUCAAUAAUAACCACCCUUAUAACAGCACUAAUAAUAAUAGUCAAUAUUUAUUGAGCAUUUACUAUUGUGCCUGGUGCUGUUCUAAGAGCUUUGCCACAACACUGACCCUUUGAAAAGCAGCCUUGGUCAGAUGCACUGUUUUGACAGGUUCUAAUUCAGGCAGAGGAGUGGAGCCUCUGGCUAACCACACAGGAUUCACGGCAGUAGGAACUGGGAAAUGGGCAGAAAUGAAGACAGGAGGUGGGACUGAAGGCAGAAAGCAGGUAACAAACUCUCCCAGGCCUGGCUCUGUACUUUCUAGGGUCAGAUAUCCCAUCCACAGGUGGGUGGACUUCUACAAGUUCAUUGGGUAGACACAAUCACCAUCUCUGCCCUCCCUCCUUCAGUUCAUGGGUUCUAUCCCCAGACUGAGGUUCUCAGGCAGCUCAUGGGGCAGAGGGGCUGAAGUUCUGGGGCCUGGAACCUUCUUGGGGUCCAAGAACCCUGCCCAGUUGCCUAGUCCAGGAGCCACACCCACAGGGCAACCUUCCUAGCAGGGCUGACUCAGAAGGAGCUCUUCCACCCUGACUCACAGCCUUCCAGGAGUGCUCAGGCUUCACCAGCCUCGCCCACCUGUCUGCUUGCUCACCAGGCCUUUAGAAGAGGCUACACCUUCCCCAACAAGACCCAACAGGGUUCCUUCUGCUACUCUCUGGUUCUUGGAGGGCUCUGCGCUGGCCAGCAUGUCUGGCGUCUCUGACCCACACACUUGCCCUGAUGCCUCUUUAGGUGCUAGGAAUCCCACUGCUGGAAGAUGCAUCUUUGGCAUCUGGAAGGGUUUCAAUCCUCCAGGAGGUAUGCUGGGUGAUUAAGGUGAGUCACUCCUCUAAGGUUGGGGCCCUGAGACCUCUGACUGAAUGCUGGGUCCUCUGGGGGCACCCAUGGCUCGGCUCUGCUCUGUGCCCCUGAAGGGUGGGAUCAGGUGAGCCCUGCGGUGGCAGGAGCAGCUGGCACAGGGGCCAGUGGAUCCUGGAGGUUCUGACGAGGAGCUGUAGUGACAGGGGAAGGCUGAGUGUAAGGGGGUUCUGGGUUGUGUUCUCCUCCUGUCCCAUUCAAACAACUUUGAUUCUAUCGGUGGCAGGCUCCCACAUAUGAUUUGGUUAAAGUGUUCUGCCCAUGGGCUUCUGAGUGGAGAGACGCCAGGUAUCUGGUGGGGAGGAAGCCAUGGGUGAGCAUGGAGGAAGAGAAGUGAGUGCUGAAGGGUCUGGCAGGGACAGAUUAAACCAGCGCCUUAGGAAUUUAGGGCCUGGGGCCAGGUCCGCCUGGGCCCUGGAAGGGGUCUAGGGGCCACAGCAAGCAGUUGGGAGCCCAGCCAGCAUUCCUGGGGAUGAGAGAAGCCAGGGGAACCAGAUGGGAAGCCAGGAAAGAGGGGUCUGGGUGAGAUUGGUGGUCAGAGACCUUUUGGCCUGUGGGAAGAGAGGAACUAUAUUCUGGUAAUAGAUAUCUACUGAACAUCUGCUAUAUACCUAGCCCUGGGCCAGGCUGGACACUGCUCUGAUGGGCACACAGCAUUGAACUAUAUUUACUGCAAGGUGUGGAGGGCUGGGGGCCUCAGCAACCUGGGAGGGGAGGGGAGUUGGCCCUGAAGGCACUCAGCACCAGGGCGGCACACAGCCUGGGGGCCACGGCUAGCAUUUGUUCUGGGAGCCAGAAGGGACAGUUAGUGGUCCAGCCCCUCUUGCUCCCCAGCCCUCUGCAGGACAGGAUGGGGUACUCUGGGAGGUGCAUCCCCUCCUUCUUGAUCAGGCCUGGGCAGUAGCCUCGCAGGCAGUUUCUUUCCCCCUCUCCUGCUGGCUGCUGCUGCUGCUCUACUGUGGGGGAGACCCGAUGCACUGACUGGGGACCUUGGCUGGACCCUUCCUUUUGUCUCUCCCUCUGUAGGUGGAACCUGGACAGGUGGGGACGGGGUGACUAGCUGGGUUGCAGAAGGCAGGUUGGUAGGGGCUGCUGCACUUUCUGGGACCUGUCUGUGGGAGAUAGGGUGGGAGUGGGCUGCUUCCGCAGACCCUCCCCACUGGAUCAGACCUGGCUAGCCUGGCCCUCCUCUGCUUCUCUCUUGUCCUGAGUGGAGGCUCCUGGAGCAGGAACCCCCACAUCAGAGCCCUAUCUGCCCAGAUCUGUGGGGCACCUAGGUACUUCAAAUGGGUGUGGGGAAGGAUGGACAGCUUGAGGUGGAAGACAAAACUCUGGAACUAGAUCACGUGGUCUGACCUCUUUCUAGCUCUGUCAUUGACUGGCUGUGAUCUUGGCCUGGUCUCUGCCUCUUGCAGCUCAGUUUCUCCAAUCGAAGUCAAGGGGGAUGACUUAAGUCAAUGUGUCUUAAACUUUACUGGUUGGUUGUCUAAUCACCUGGACCUUGUUAAAAUGCAGGGUUUGACUCAGCAGAUCUGGGGUGAGGCCUGAGAGUCCUCAUUUUUCUUUUUCUUUUUUAAAGACUUUUAUUUUUAAGUACUAUGUCCACCCAGCGUGGUGGACUCAUAACCCCCAGAUCAAGAGUUGCAUACUUUACAGACUGAGCCAGAGUUCACAGUCCUCAUUUCUAAGAAGCUCUCAGGUGCUUCUGAUGCUGCUGGUCCAUGGACCCACUUUGGGCAACAAAGGCUUAGACAACCCAUCUAGUUUGGGCCUUCAGGACCCAGAGACUGGGUCACUUGGUCCCUCUCUGACCUCACAAGGCAUCAGAAGGAAGCCUUGGGAUUAGCUCUAGGUUUUGGGCUAACAGAGCUGGCAGUGCUCAGGUUGGUGGGGCACGGGGCACCACCAGCUGAGGCUGCAUUUGGGUAGACAAGUUCUUUCUUGGUCACUGGUCGAUUUAACCAAGGGCUACUUUUGUCUGUGGGGGGUCUUAGAACAUCUCCCUUGUGAAGGAACACAGCACAACCCACAAAUUAUCCUGGUGGCUCUCGGAGGAGCCUGCAUCCUUUAUGAGGACAGCAGCUAUCGGUUAAAUGCCGUACCUCGUUACACCGAGAUAGGAAAUGUGACCAGGAGGUAGUUGGGCAUGCUUAGCUUUAGCAGCUGCAUGGCUGCCCCUUCCAUGGAAAGACCCGACACACUCUAAGGAGAGAAGGAGGCUGAUAGAGCAAGGUGCCUUCCCACUCUGGGCUUCCCCUCACCAGCCAGUUGACACGGCUGGGUUAGGGCACACAUCGUGGUGUGGUAGUUACUUAUUUGCAUGUCUGGGGCUCUUCAGGAAGGGGUGGGUGGAUUCCUGUGUGCAUCUCCCACAGCAGUUUUGGCACAAAAUUCCCUUGCCAAUGCCUGACUAAUCCUAGCGGUAACUAUACAGAGAUGGUGUUAACUACAACGGAGCCUCGGGGAGGAUAAGGGCUGUGGAGAGAGGGGUCCAGCAGGUCUGGUUAAUGUCCUGGCUCCAUCCGUUUGCCAGGGCAUCUUCACACGUUAUGGCAAGGAAUGGGAGACCCAACCAGAGAACUCUGGGGGCUGCCCAGGUACCUCCAUCCCUUUAAGAUCCUGAAUCUUCAGGGCCCAGAGGAAGAUGCCAACACCCCUGGCAGUUCCCAUUGGUCAGGAGAGGUGCAGGGCAGGGUCAAGAUCCAUUUUUCUUGCUUUCUAUUGGAGGAUGAUGGUUCCAGCUCGGUGGGGUCUACAGCUGCCAUAGCAACUGUGGGCCAGCUCCUAGCAUGAGGGGAGGGGCUCAAAGGGAGCCCCUUCUUUAGCAUCUAAUAGGCUAGACCAUUUAGGGUGGUGGGCAGGACUUCUAAGCUAGGGACCCUAGGAACCGGGCCCUCUGUCAAUCCCUACCCUGCUUCCCACAUCCCCUCCACCACCACCCCUCCCACUGUGGGUUCACUUCUUGGCUCUGCUGAUGUCAGCUUGGGUCUCUGGAUGGGCAGGGAAUCCUAGCCCUUGGUUCCACAUGGCCAGGUCUGGGGACUGUUGGGAGGGCCACAAGUGAGGGGUACUAUCUCCAGAGUUUGUGUGUGCAGCUGUAUAUAUUGUGUGGGUGUAUGUUAUUAUGUAGGAAGGUAUUUAGGUCUGUGCUGUGUAUCUGAAGGUCUAAAGGUACACAGCUGUUUGCACAAGUGCAGCGUGUGUGUGUGUGUGUGUGUGUGUGUGUGUGUGUAUGUGAAGAGGGUCAGAGGCUCCCAAACUUUCCUAACACUUGUACACAGGCUGGCUCCUUAAAGCUAGGCGAUAGUGAGUUAUUUUGCAAAGUGGAUAGCAACCCUUUUAAGUCUUGGGUGCAUAUCUGAAAUCUGCAAGGGAUUUGCAUAAAUUGAGGCCCCACAUUUAGAUUGGGUUCCAAGUUUGGGAUUCCAGUGAAAGACCCGCUCCCAGGUCCUCAUGGAGCUGCUUGCACUAUGCCCUGGGUGCCAGCCUGCUGUCCAGCACAGGCUUAAAGGAGCUGGAGCAGUGUCAGCUGGUGCCAGCUCACUGGGGGCAGGGCAGGCUGGGCUGAGUGAACAGAGAGGGUGUCGUCAGUCCUCUGGGGGAAAUCGGAGAUAAGGCCAGAUCCUGCCUGGCGGGUCUGUCACCCUUGUCUCAGCUUACACUCCCAGGGAAACUGGGUGGAGACUGGCACCAGAUAUUAGGGCCCUGAGGAUCUGGCCCUGAGCUCCAGGAAGAGGCAGGGAAGAACGUGGGGUGUGGUGUGGAGACACCCUUGGCAGGGCCCCUGUGUGAGGCUGGCCUGAGGGGUGCUGGAGAGACUAGGUUGUAAAAGGAAGCCAGGGCAGGAUUUUGAGCCUCUGGUGUAGAGGGAUCUCUAUGGGGGUCCCUCUCUAUGGGUCCUGGCAACUUCCUUGGGGGCAGACUCUUCAGUGUGGCAAGAAGAGCUGGCUGGGCCUCAGGGUCUGGUCUAAUCUAAUGCUGCUUUUCUGUGUGUGGCUGGACAACCCCCUAACCCUUUCUGACUCUCAGCCUGCCCUCGAUCCUCUGGGGGCCCUUUCAGCAGUGAAAUACCAGGAUUCCUGGUGUCCUGCCCAAAUCUUGUGAGUGAAGGAGGAUCUAAGGGGAUGUCGAGAUGUUAAAGGGGCACUGAGAAGCGUCCCUGCAGGGAGCUGUAGGGGCAGCAGUGGAGAGGAGGGAGUUUCCUCUCUUGCCCUAGUUCCUGGUUCAGAUGUUACAGAUAUGGAGACACAGGGAAGAGGUGACUCUGGUCCCCAGACACUGGUCAGCUGCCAAAGGCUGGUUGGGACUCUCCACCCCAAUGUGGCUGUGCUCAGGUCCCCUGCUCCCACCCUGAGAGCUGCUUUUUCUCUGAGGACAUCAGCCUACUGCCAGGGCAGUAUCACCUGGGACCCAGAAUCUGUCCUUUUCACCUGCAACCCUGGGAGACCCUCAAAAGGGAGAGGGGCAGAAGGUGACAGCUCCUUAGCAGCUCAUAGAGGGUCUUCUGGAGACCCUGUAUCUCGGCUCCAUCUCUAACCAGAUGACAGCCUCUCGGGAUAGCUGGUUUUUCAGAAUCCUUGCUGCUUACCCUACCUUCGAGAAGGAGCACCUUGGUCUUCUUGUUGGGGGUGGAGACCAAAAGAAACCUUUCUUGUGAAAAUCUCCAGGGAGCCAAGGGAAGGCACCUGUGGCAGGCCCCUCUGUCUCUCCAGCAGUAUCAGGUCCCAGCCUUGGGGUCCCUUUCUGCCCCUUGGUCUCCUCACCUUUGCUCUCUAACCUCUUGAGAGUGGGGAGGGACAAGGCUGUUGAAGCCAAAACUCAGGCAAAGAAAUAUAUGGCUGGGACACUGAAUAUAUCUCCUGAUUUAGUUGCUUCCUUAAGCUCCUUGGAGAAGGCCUAGCCUAUCUCUACUAAACCAAAGGGCUUUGGCCCCAUCCCACAAAGACUGGCCCACCUGCCUACACAGGUGGGGCCAGAAGAGAUCUGAAAGGCCCAAGAGGUGGAAAUUUAGGGCUCGAGUAGCUCUGUCUUGCCUGUUUGCUGAGGCCUGGUAGGAUGGCCUGCCCCAGGGGAGUGCAGGCUGGUGUGGACAAGGACCCAGUGCAUGGUCAGACAAAUGACACACAGCUGUCCAGAACCUCCAAAGCACCAUUUAUCCAGGCCCCAUGGACUUGAGUGCCCCCAAUGGCUCACCCCCCAGUCCUUGGGGGAGCACAGGCAUUACAGUGGCCCCUGGCCUGAGACCCUACAUGCUCCUCAGCCCCGCCUGUUCCCGGGCCACAGACCCAUACUGCCUACCUAGCCCUCAGCCCAUCAAGGCGGGGCCCUGGGAAUGAACUGGCCUCAGACCCUCCUCCAUCCCACAUUCUCAGGGCUCCAUUAGUCUCGGCUAGCUCAACACUGUGUUAAAUAGCUUCCUUGCAAUCCCUCUUAAAUAAACCCAUUCCCAGAGCAACCUGCCUUACCUUGCACCCUGAAUAUAUUAUUCUACUGGCUUAUGUCUCCUAGAGAGUGGAGGGUCUCUCUCCUCCUGCCCUCUGCUCCAGGGAAUACCAUCUCCCUAAAAAACUAGGGGAAAAAGUUUUCCCGUCAACCCUGGGGCAGAGACAAAGGGAGCCUUGGCUUGGAGUGGAAAAGCCUGGAAUCCCUGUCCAUCUUCCCUACCCUCUCUUCUCCUUGACCUCUUAGCAGCCUGGGUCAGAUGUGACUUACCCAAGAUCACAGACCCAGGAUCCAGAGUCCUGACAUAUCUAGGAGAUCACUCUGGUUUUGACAGCCCAGACUAGCUCCGGGGCAGGGGGACUGACUCUAAGCCUGCCUCUGACCUUGGCCCCCUUGCAGUUCUCCAGGCGUGGAGAAAGCUGGGGAGAUUCCAGCUCUUGACUCUACUUGGUCCUGCACCCCUGGGACUUCCUCCCAGCACCCUCCACCUCAGAUGUCCCCAGGUAUCUCUGGCUCUGGGGAUACUCAGACAGCACCAGGGCACGGGAGCAAUGGGGCCGGGGCCUGAGCAAGCCUGUCCCUGGCCUGAUCAGCAUCUGGGCCCAGGCCAGGCCUCACACCCAGUACUGGCCGUUCUUGAGAGCAGGGUUGGGUGUCCGGCAGAACUGUAGGAGCUCUGGGUCAGGCUGGCCCCCUGGCGGGGGCCCCUGGCUGGGCACUGCGGUGAGUGGGAUGGCUUGGCCCGGCUCUACCUUGCGGAAGGUCUCGGUGUCGCUGGCUAGGCCGUUGCGGGGCUUGGCGGUCAGCACCUGGACAUCGUGCUUGCCCGUCUUGUUGCGUUUGCGGAGGUAGAAGAGCAGGGGCAAGAUGAGUGCCAGAAGCAGGAGGACCAGGCACACGGGAAUGAUGACACUGAACAUGUUGGCCUCCAGGAAGCCCAGGAAGCCCCUCCUGGCCACGGUGGGCACGGGGCUGGAGGCUAAUGGGCCUGGCUCGCCCGUGGGGGUGCUGCUCUCUGGGUUCCUUGCUUCUGUCUGAGCAGCCUCGGGGAGACUGAGCAGGGCCACACUGUAGGGCCGGGCUGCAUUGUAAGGCUCAGUGUCAAAGUCCAGUGAGGCCACAGCAGGGGGCACACCCCGUGCCCACAGCUCCAGAGUGAGACUGUCGCCUGCGGGGCCAGGGGACCUACCCUCUGGCCUGCCCACCUCCAGCCCCAGCCUUCCAUCCUCAAGGUCCCGCUGGGUGAACUGCUCCACAAGCUGGCUGUCCCUGGGCUCCGUUCUGGCCCGGGGCACGCGGACCACGCGGCCAUGCCGGGGUCCCGCCAGGAGCCGGAAACGGGGCACACUGCCCGUGCGGUUGGCCAGCUCGCCCGCAUCUAGGACGGUGGAGUCCAGGCGCAGGGUGGCACCCUGGGGCCACGGCCCACCCGCCCACACUCGCAGCAGCGCCCUGACGGUGACGUUCACUGUGGCCGACGCGUUGGCACCUCUGGCCAGUGCCAGGAUGCUGAAGUGGUCGCGAGAGGAGGAGAAGUUGGUGAAGGCAAAGACCACCUCCCCCUGGUCUACCUGGAGCUGGCUGAAGGCCGUGGCCGGCUGCCCGGCCACCAGGAGCUGCCCGAACCGGGGCCCCCUGGUGAGGCGGUAGGCUGCGUCUGGCUCCUCCCGGUCUGACACCACCUGGAGCUGCUCCCGGCUCAGGGAGGAGCGCCCCAGGGCCUGGGGCACCUCUAGGGGCGCGCGCAGCCACACGUUGAUGGCCGCCGGCAAGACGUCCACGGCCAGGGCCACGGGCAGCGGGGGGCUGGCCCCGUCAGACACGCUCAGCUGCACAAUGCCGGCCACGCUGCUCCCGUUGGCCACGAAGGCCAGCCGCCCCGCGUCCACGUCGGCCUGCGUGAAGCGGAUCACGGGCCCUGGGCCGGCCCCCGCCAGACUCAGGAAGCCGUUGAGGGGGGCCCGCUGCACCUCGUACUCGAUCUCCCCGGGGGCCGAGUCUGGGUCCACCACACUCAGCUGGGCCCGGGAGACCAGGGCGCGGGAGCCCCGGGUGAGCCGCAGCGGCACAGAGGCCUGGGGCCGAGGCGGCCGCUCGUUCACGUCCCGCACGGUGAUGGCGAAGGCCUCCGAGGUUUGGGGGCCCGAAACGGAAGCCCCCGCUGGCCCCUGGAGGUGGGCACGGAAGCGGAAGCCAUCCUGCUGGGUGCCCCCGCCGCCGUGGGCGUAGACCAGCUGCCCUGCGGCCAGCUCGGACUGCAGGAAGUGGGGCCGCCCGGCGUCGAGGGGCUCCCCAGACACCAACAGCUGGCCCCGGGUGGGGAACUGUGUGAUUUGGAAGAGUACGUCGUGCUCUGGGCGCUGGGGUGAUGGAAUGGUGGCCAGGAGGUUGGAGGCAUCAAGGGCGUCCCUGGUGAUCUCUGCCCGCUGGCCUUCAGGGACCCAAAGACCUGGAGGUGGGACAUAGGCUGUGAAGGUUCUGUCCACUGAAGAAAGACCUCAGACCCUCAGACCAGGACCCCUGGGGCAAGGUUGUGUCUUCUUCCGUCAGACCAGGGACCCCAGGGUGGGGCUCAGGGUACCCCGGAGGAUAAGGAUCAUGUCUCCUCUCUAACCUCAAAGCGUCCCCACCUACCCACGCUCCCUAUAACUUUCCAGGUCCUGGGGACUGACAUGGGAGCUGCUGACCCUGGCCUUGUGUCCCCUCCCCUCUCGGCCCUCCCAGUGUCUCCCAAACUUUGCUGUUCACCUUUGUUACUCCAGAGGCGGCUGGGGCGCUGGGGACAGGCAGCCUCGAAAGACACAGCCACAGCAAGGGUGGUGGCCACAUCAGGGGCUGGGGGCGACGACAGCUGGAGCUCCACGGCGUCACGGACCUCCCAGAAGGGCUCAGGGGGCAUCUCGUGCUCAUACAGAACAGUCCCAGCAUACACCUGUGGGGAGACCCCAUUUUGGGAUGAGAGGUGGGUUCAGCCCGUGGUGGCUGGUAGCCCCCUCCCUGGGCGGCACUGGCACUGGGCGCUCCAGUCUCCUUGAUGAACUCUCGGUGCCCAGCCUCACUCUCGGCUCACCUGGCUGUGCCUCGCUCUAAGUCGGUAACCCGUGCUCUUCCUCACUAGCUCAGUGGGUCACUGUUGGCAAUCGUGUGGCAGUGAGGUGACUGGCUCUGGCGCCAACGCCUUGUCAAAUCUGGACCCUGCUGCCUCAGGCAAAUCACCUCAUCUCUCUGAGCCCCUGGGGAAAGCAAAAUUCUAUCCAUGCUUCUCUCAACAGCUUCUCUCAACUUCCUUCCACUUUUGCACUAGGUCCCUGCCCCUCUUCCCCGCCGAAGACACCAGUCUUACCAUUUCCCUUCUUUCUCCUGUGGAGACAAUCCAGCCCCCGCCCCCCACCCCCAACAAGGGAACAGUCUCAUCAUUACUCAACCCCAUGUAGUUAUUCUCCUCCAUCUUAAAGAAAAAACUUGUGACUUCACUUUUUCCAACAUUUGUCGCCCCUCCCAUUUUGCUCUCCUUUACAGCAAAACUCCAUAAAGAAUACUCUUUAAUCUCUCCCAGGCUGCUGUCUCCUGAACUCCAGACUCACAUAUCCACUUGCUUCCUGGCCGCUCUGUGCAGAUGGACAGAUCCCCUACCUGCACACCUCUCCUAGUCCCUCCCACUUCAUGUGGUGGCAGCUCUGUUCUUCCAGAGGCUCAGGCUCAAACCCCUGGAGUCAUCCCAGACUAUUCCUUCUCUUGCAUACUGUCACUUCUGGCCUGGAUUAUCCCCAUGGCCUCCUGUGUGCCAGCUUUGACCCCUGCUCCCUCCCCCUACAGUUGUUCUUAACACAGAAGCCAGAGUGAGCCUUUUAAAAUGUACGUGAGGCUAUGUCACUCUUGCUCAGAUAGUGCAGUGGCUCCUCAUUUGGCCACAAAGAUCUGACCUGGUUACCCCUGUGACCUCACCUCCUACCAUUCCCACCAUGGUGUCUCCAUUCCAGCCACAUCUGCUGUUCUCUAGGGCUGUUUGCAUGUUAAACACCUAGGAAUAUUCCUCGUUUCCAUAAAGAAAUCUGCUCUCUCCCCCUUGUGAUUCAAACGUGUCCUCUUGGCUUAUUUUUUGUUUUUCCCUUUUAGGAGAUGUAGGAACUGUUGUCCUCUUCUCAGAAAAACAGGACUUGCACAAUACUAAGAUGGAAACUGGGAUCCCAGCAUGCAGGAGACUCUAGGACAGGGGGGUUGUGAUGAACUGGAGAGGGGUGCCCCAUCUAACAGGGGAGCCAUCCAUCCUUUGAAGGGGGUGAACCACAGUUCUAAAGGGGGCACAGACCCAGGCUGAAAGGGGCUGCAGACCCAGGCUGAAAGGGGCCGCUGUUCCUCAGCUGAUUGUGGUAAGAGGGAACACAGCCUUUUAAGAACCUGGAAAUCAGGCUUGUGUGUGUGUGUGUGUGUGUGUGUGUGUGUGUGUGGUGCGUGUGAAAUCCCCCAAAGGGGAUAUGUUGAUCAUUAAUUUAAAAAUAUUAAAUGCAUUGUGCAGGCCAAAUAAAACACAUCUGUGGACCAGAUGUGGCCCAUAAGGACUGUCAGCUAUAACCUCUGGCCCAGGCUGAAGGGUGGCAGGAAGGAAAUCGAGGCCCCUAGGAGUGGGGUGAAGGCUGGAUGCCUGGGUGCAAGGAGCUUCCGUGGAUGGGAGGCAUCUGGCUGGGGGUGAGGCAAAUCACAGGCAAGACAGGGAGGGGGUCUCUGAGCUCCGGGAGCAAACGGUGUCCUCUGGCGAAAGAAAUCUUGGACUAGCAGUCAGAAGCCAUAAUCCUGGUUUUGUCUCUUACUAGCCACAUCCUCUGAAUAGUUGCCUCAUAUCCUUAAGCCUCAGUUUCCUUAUCUGCAAAACAGGACACCUGAUCUCUGACCCACUCAGCUCAGAGUAUUGUGGGACAGUGUGCCGUCAAGACUACCCAGCCCUGUCCUGCCCCCUGCCCCAAAGUCGGGACAGCAUCUCUGCUAGGAAGCUUCUUCCCAGCUUCUCUGGGUGGUACUGCUGUCUGGCCCCCUGGUGGCCAUUCACUUCCAUCCGCAUAUUGCUGGGGUGUGGGGAAAGCACUGUGGGUGGGGGAGGGACCCUGAAGGCCUUGUCCUGUUCCCUCCCCCUUCGUAGGCAUCGGAUGACAGAGGCUCCCAGGGGCUCAGGGUGCACAGCUUCUACAGCCAUCAGCCUGUUGAAUAUCUUAUAUGGUGGGAAGGGGACCUGGGCAGAAGCUAGGGCUUCAUGAGAACCAAAAACCUGGGGGGGGAUGUUGACAUGAGAGACCUUUUGCCAUCUUCCCUUGUUAAAGACGCCUCCUUCCCUGAUGUCUGAAAGAUCCUCACCUGCUGUGCCUUUGGAGCAAGCGGAGGCUGCCAGCACACAGGGCACCUCCCCCACGUAGAAGGGGUAUUAAUUUAAGUGAUGGCUGCUGGCCCCACCAGCACAUUUAGCACAGAGAGUUCUGUGCUCCCAGCAACUAGCAGUGUCCCUCUUCACAUGGCUGAGCGUUCUAGUUUUUACCUGGUGGCCGCUGGUGUGCUCUGGGACAGCUAUGCCCUGAAGUGAGAUGGCAGCAUCACGUCCACUCCAGUUCCUCAGCUGCCUUGUGUCCACUCAUUGGCUCCCAGGAUCCACUCUGCUUCUUGCUGGCUCCUGACCUGAGCUCCAGGCUUGCACCUCUGCUCACAAGCCCAACAGCUGCCUUCAUCUUGAACUCCACCCCCCCGAACCAAGCACUGCCCCUCACUAGCCACUGGGGUAAGCUAGUGUCCCCAGCUCAAAGCACCCUUUCUAGCUCCUAAGGUCCAACUGCAGCUUCCUCCUGGAAGCCAUGCCCCAGGACCUUAUCCCUGUUCUGGGCUCUUGUAGCCCUGACCUCUUGCAUCCUUCUGUCUCCCAGACUGGUGGCUCUGGGAGGGCAAGGCACGCACAGCCUGGCCUGUGGUGGGGCCGGCGAGCGUCUGCUACUAACGAUGUGGGAGCGGUGCCCCCGUGUCCACUGGCAGAGUGGGCCACCCGAGGCUGAAUGGAGUCUAAGUGGUGGCUGUAGAGAGCUGGGCCCUUACCUCAGCCUGAGUGAAGUUCACCAGGGCCUCCCCAGAGCCACCCUGCUGGGCGUGGAACAGCCGGCCCAGCCGGGGGCCCUGCACCACGCGGUAGAGCAGGUGGUGGGGGUCCGUGCCUGCACUGGAGCUGGCUCUCAGGCUCUGGCUGCUCAGCGGCUGGACCGACCCUGUGAGAGGGAUAAGGGGCCUGUUGGCUUUUGACCAGGAGCCAGGGCGAGGCCUGCGACUGCUGGGAGGCAGCGUGACCCUGGGGUGUCACCCGGCCUACAGGCAUGCCUAUGCUCGCAGACCCACCUGGGCACACGUUCAGCGUCCGGCUACCCUCUAGCGAGAGGAGCAGCUGCUUCUGGGCCGUCACGCGGAAGAAGUGUCCGGGGGAAGUGUGCUCACCAUCGGAGAGGCUGAAGUGGAAGCCUCCGUCCAGGGCUCCUGAGGACGGGGGUGAAGUUGGGUCUUGCUGGCCCAUGGUGGCUCCCCAUUCUCGGGGCGUCCCACCUCUCAGUACUCACCUCUAUGUGAGAACAGCACCAGCCCUCCAUCUAGCUGGGCCUGCGUGAAGCUGUGGACCUCGGUGCCCGGUGCCGCCCGCAGCACUACCUGCCCAUUGCUGGGCCGCUCGAUGGUGUAGACCAGGUCCUCCGGUCCUGAGUCGCUGUCUGUGGCCCUGAGGGCCUCCGGAGGGAAGGGCACAGUGGCCCCCUCCCACAUCUGGGGACACAUGCCUGUGAAGAUUCUAUCCCCACCAAGCUCUCCCAACUUGUUCCUCCCUGGCCCUGAGGCCGUCAUCAUCGCACUGUGGCUCAGGCCCUCAGCUGUCAUGGAGGCCUGUGCCAUUCUGGGCCCCCCCACCC